GGGGGCGAUUUGGCUUCGACGGGUUUGAAGCCGGCCCUUGGAAGCAGGCCGCGCGGUCUACCGGCGCGUUAUCCCAGGUGGAACCAACACAAUUGCCGAUUACGAUAUGGCAUUGGCCGCCUAAAUAAAGGCGACCGGUCUCCCGGACGUGGGUCGCUUGGCGACCGGAUGAGGCCUCAAACACAAGCGUCUAGUCGAGAGGAAGGCCCGUGGCCCCCCGGCGAAACCUAGCGGGACCGCCCAACCGUUGCCUGUCCGGUGGUUGCGGGAGGGUCAAAUUCAAACCGGAAUAAGCCUGUAGAAGCCUUGGACUUGCCAAAUUCGGACGGGGGUUCGAGUCCCCCCGCCUCCACCA
rnacentral:tmRNA from 1 species